rnacentral:rRNA from 1 species
UUAAGUUAUUAAGGGCGCACGGUGGAUGCCUUGGCACUAGAAGCCGAUGAAGGACGUUACUAACGACGAUAUGCUUUGGGGAGCUGUAAGUAAGCUUUGAUCCAGAGAUUUCCGAAUGGGGAAACCCAGCAUGAGUUAUGUCAUGUUAUCGAUAUGUGAAUACAUAGCAUAUCAGAAGGCACACCCGGAGAACUGAAACAUCUUAGUACCCGGAGGAAGAGAAAGAAAAUUCGAUUCCCUUAGUAGCGGCGAGCGAAACGGGAAGAGCCCAAACCAACAAGCUUGCUUGUUGGGGUUGUAGGACACUCUAUACGGAGUUACAAAGGACGACAUUAGACGAAUCAUCUGGAAAGAUGAAUCAAAGAAGGUAAUAAUCCUGUAGUCGAAAAUGUUGUCUCUCUUGAGUGGAUCCUGAGUACGACGGAGCACGUGAAAUUCCGUCGGAAUCUGGGAGGACCAUCUCCUAAGGCUAAAUACUCUCUAGUGACCGAUAGUGAACCAGUACCGUGAGGGAAAGGUGAAAAGCACCCCGGAAGGGGAGUGAAAUAGAACCUGAAACCGUGUGCUUACAAGUAGUCAGAGCCCGUUAAUGGGUGAUGGCGUGCCUUUUGUAGAAUGAACCGGCGAGUUACGAUUUGAUGCAAGGUUAAGCAGUAAAUGUGGAGCCGUAGCGAAAGCGAGUCUGAAUAGGGCGUUUAGUAUUUGGUCGUAGACCCGAAACCAGGUGAUCUACCCUUGGUCAGGUUGAAGUUCAGGUAACACUGAAUGGAGGACCGAACCGACUUACGUUGAAAAGUGAGCGGAUGAACUGAGGGUAGCGGAGAAAUUCCAAUCGAACCUGGAGAUAGCUGGUUCUCUCCGAAAUAGCUUUAGGGCUAGCCUCAAGUGAUGAUUAUUGGAGGUAGAGCACUGUUUGGACGAGGGGCCCCUCUCGGGUUACCGAAUUCAGACAAACUCCGAAUGCCAAUUAAUUUAACUUGGGAGUCAGAACAUGGGUGAUAAGGUCCGUGUUCGAAAGGGAAACAGCCCAGACCACCAGCUAAGGUCCCAAAAUAUAUGUUAAGUGGAAAAGGAUGUGGCGUUGCCCAGACAACUAGGAUGUUGGCUUAGAAGCAGCCAUCAUUUAAAGAGUGCGUAAUAGCUCACUAGUCGAGUGACACUGCGCCGAAAAUGUACCGGGGCUAAACAUNUUACCGAAGCUGUGGAUUGUCCUUUGGACAAUGGUAGGAGAGCGUUCUAAGGGCGUUGAAGCAUGAUCGUAAGGACAUGUGGAGCGCUUAGAAGUGAGAAUGCCGGUGUGAGUAGCGAAAGACGGGUGAGAAUCCCGUCCACCGAUUGACUAAGGUUUCCAGAGGAAGGCUCGUCCGCUCUGGGUUAGUCGGGUCCUAAGCUGAGGCCGACAGGCGUAGGCGAUGGAUAACAGGUUGAUAUUCCUGUACCACCUAUAAUCGUUUUAAUCGAUGGGGGGACGCAGUAGGAUAGGCGAAGCGUGCGAUUGGAUUGCACGUCUAAGCAGUAAGGCUGAGUAUUAGGCAAAUCCGGUACUCGUUAAGGCUGAGCUGUGAUGGGGAGAAGACAUUGUGUCUUCGAGUCGUUGAUUUCACACUGCCGAGAAAAGCCUCUAGAUAGAAAAUAGGUGCCCGUACCGCAAACCGACACAGGUAGUCAAGAUGAGAAUUCUAAGGUGAGCGAGCGAACUCUCGUUAAGGAACUCGGCAAAAUGACCCCGUAACUUCGGGAGAAGGGGUGCUCUUUAGGGUUAACGCCCAGAAGAGCCGCAGUGAAUAGGCCCAAGCGACUGUUUAUCAAAAACACAGGUCUCUGCUAAACCGUAAGGUGAUGUAUAGGGGCUGACGCCUGCCCGGUGCUGGAAGGUUAAGAGGAGUGGUUAGCUUCUGCGAAGCUACGAAUCGAAGCCCCAGUAAACGGCGGCCGUAACUAUAACGGUCCUAAGGUAGCGAAAUUCCUUGUCGGGUAAGUUCCGACCCGCACGAAAGGCGUAACGAUUUGGGCACUGUCUCAACGAGAGACUCGGUGAAAUCAUAGUACCUGUGAAGAUGCAGGUUACCCGCGACAGGACGGAAAGACCCCGUGGAGCUUUACUGUAGCCUGAUAUUGAAAUUCGGCACAGCUUGUACAGGAUAGGUAGGAGCCUUUGAAACGUGAGCGCUAGCUUACGUGGAGGCGCUGGUGGGAUACUACCCUAGCUGUGUUGGCUUUCUAACCCGCACCACUUAUCGUGGUGGGAGACAGUGUCAGGCGGGCAGUUUGACUGGGGCGGUCGCCUCCUAAAAGGUAACGGAGGCGCUCAAAGGUUCCCUCAGAAUGGUUGGAAAUCAUUCAUAGAGUGUAAAGGCAUAAGGGAGCUUGACUGCGAGACCUACAAGUCGAGCAGGGUCGAAAGACGGACUUAGUGAUCCGGUGGUUCCGCAUGGAAGGGCCAUCGCUCAACGGAUAAAAGCUACCCCGGGGAUAACAGGCUUAUCUCCCCCAAGAGUUCACAUCGACGGGGAGGUUUGGCACCUCGAUGUCGGCUCAUCGCAUCCUGGGGCUGUAGUCGGUCCCAAGGGUUGGGCUGUUCGCCCAUUAAAGCGGUACGCGAGCUGGGUUCAGAACGUCGUGAGACAGUUCGGUCCCUAUCCGUCGUGGGCGUAGGAAAUUUGAGAGGAGCUGUCCUUAGUACGAGAGGACCGGGAUGGACAUACCUCUGGUGUACCAGUUGUCGUGCCAACGGCAUAGCUGGGUAGCUAUGUGUGGACGGGAUAAGUGCUGAAAGCAUCUAAGCAUGAAGCCCCCCUCAAGAUGAGAUUUCCCAACUUCGGUUAUAAGAUCCCUCAAAGAUGAUGAGGUUAAUAGGUUCGAGGUGGAAGCAUGGUGACAUGUGGAGCUGACGAAUACUAAUCGAUCGAAGACUUAAUCAA